UACGAAGGGGGCUAGCGUUGCUCGGAAUUACUGGGCGUAAAGGGCGCGUAGGCGGAUAGUUUAGUCAGAGGUGAAAGCCCAGGGCUCAACCUUGGAAUUGCCUUUGAUACUGGCUAUCUUGAGUUCGGGAGAGGUGAGUGGAAUGCCGAGUGUAGAGGUGAAAUUCGUAGAUAUUCGGCGGAACACCAGUGGCGAAGGCGACUCACUGGCCCGAUACUGACGCUGAGGCGCGAAAGCGUGGGGAGCAACAGGGAUUAAGA
rnacentral:rRNA from 1 species